rnacentral:rRNA from 1 species
ACGCGUUGAACCUUACCAGGUCUUGACAUCCUUCGCUACUUCUAGAGAUAGAAGGUUCCCCUUCGGGGGACGAAGUGACAGGUGGUGCAUGGUUGUCGUCAGCUCGUGUCGUGAGAUGUUGGGUUAAGUCCCGCAACGAGCGCAACCCUUGAUCUUAGUUGCCAGCAGGUUAAGCUGGGCACUCUAAGGGGACUGCCGGUGACAAACCGGAGGAAGGUGGGGAUGACGUCAAAUCAUCAUGCCCCUUAUGACCUGGGCUACACACGUACUACAAUGGCCAGUACAACGGGAAGCGAAGCCGCGAGGUGGAGCCAAUCCUAAAAAGCUGGUCUCAGUUCGGAUUGCAGGCUGCAACUCGCCUGCAUGAAGUCGGAAUUGCUAGUAAUCGCGGAUCAGCAUGCCGCGGUGAAUACGUUCCCGGGUCUUGCACUCACCGCCCGU